rnacentral:rRNA from 1 species
UACGUAGGGUGCGAGCGUUGUCCGGAAUUAUUGGGCGUAAAGAGCUUGUAGGCGGUUUGUCGCGUCUGCCGUGAAAAUCCGGGGCUCAACCCCGGACUUGCGGUGGGUACGGGCAGACUAGAGUGUGGUAGGGGGAGACUGGAAUUCCUGGUGUAGCGGUGAAAUGCGCAGAUAUCAGGAGGAACACCGAUGGCGAAGGCAGGUCUCUGGGCCACUACUGACGCUGAGAAGCGAAAGCGUGGGGAGCGAACAGG